UCACUUGAUCGAUACAACCAUCCAUGUCUUCUUCUUCUUCUUGUCGUAGCCAUGUUGUUCUCUUUUCUUUGAUGGUUUUCUGGGUUUGACCGCAAGAUCUGGUAUCUUGAGCUCAGGAGGAGUAUGGGGAGGGGAAAGAUCGCGAUCCGCAGGAUCGAUAACUCCACUAGCCGGCAGGUGACCUUCUCGAAGAGGAGGAAGGGUUUACUCAAGAAGGCCAAAGAGCUCGCCAUCCUUUGUGAUGCGGAGGUCGGCGUUGUUGUCUUCUCCGCCACCGGCCGAGUCUAUGAUUACGCCAGCACCAGCAUGAAGUCUGUGAUGGAAAGAUACACUAGAGCAAAGGGGGAGCAUCAUCUGGUUAUGAACCCGAGUUCAGAAACUAUGUUCUGGCAAAGGGAGGCAACAAGCUUGAGGCAGCGACUGCAUAAAUUGCACGAAACUCAUAGACAGUUGAUGGGAGAACUUUCUGGUCUAGACAUAAAAGAUCUACAAAAUAUAGAGAACCAACUGGAGACGAAUCUGGAUGGUAUCCGAAAGAGGAAGGAACAACUUCUACUCGAGGAAAUUCAAGAAUUACAUCGGAAGGGGAGCCUUGUUCACCAAGAAAAUAUGGAACUCUACAGGAAUAUAAACAUCAUGUGUCAAGAAAACACGGAAUUACACAGGAAGGUUGAUGCAACAAGGGAAGCAAAUGACAAGAAUUCAGUUAUGCCAGACGGAUUUAGUAAACCAGAGGAAGCAAAUGUACUCAUUCAUCUCCAACUGAGCCAACCACAUCAGCAAGCCGAAGGAUUACAACUGAAAGCUCCAAAGCUAGGAUUUCAACUGAACUGAGAAGACAUAAAGAUCAAGUACGGCUACUCAAUGUCUUCGUCACAUUAUCACAAGACAUAUCAGCAUUUUGUUAAUUGGUGUAUAAGGAGCAGCAUUAUUUCUCAAAAUAGUAAUCCAUCUUGUGAAUUGACCAGAAUAACCAAUUACACAGUGAAGGUAGGAAACUCCUUGCAAAACGAAAGAAAAGAGGGAGAUUUCCGACAACAACAUAAUUUGUCCUUUCCAAUUUGCUCCAGAAUCGGCGCCCAAACCUGGCCCUACUGUCCAAUCCGGUCUGGUUCUAAUUUUUGUUCUUCCAAAACACAGAAAUAUCUAUCCAACCCAAAACAUCGUGGUUACAAAAAUCACCGUGUUUAUCCAAGAGAAGCAAAAUGGAAAGUUCAGAAGGGGAGGUAUGCUCCCCAAAAUGCAUGCCAAUGAUUCAACCUACCAAAAU